GUCUACCACCGGGAUGUUCAUAACCCUUUGUUGUCCGACUCUGUUGCCUCCGGGGCGACCCUGCCUUCGGGCGGGGGCUCCGGGUGGACACUUCAAACUCUUGCGUAACUUUGCAGUCUGAGUAAACUUAAUUAAUAAAUUAAAACUUUUAACAACGGAUCUCUUGGUUCUGGCAUCGAUGAAGAACGCAGAGAAUCAUUACAGUGACCCCGGUCUAACCACGGGAUGUUCAUAACCCUUUGUUGUCCGACUCUUUGC
rnacentral:misc_RNA from 1 species